CUUCCAUUAUUUUCUUUCUAACCAAAAGAUCAGCGAACGCUAUUGAAUAUGGCCAGCCAGAUCGCUGGCCCCAAGAUCGUCUUCGUCUUCCAACUCAAUUCAAAGACCUGAUAACGGCAUCAUAUUCAACAUGCUGACCUUUCAUAUUCUCACUACUUGGUUGGAAGAUUAGCCAACUUCGGAGAAGAAUGGCAAAGGGAACUCAAAACCACAGAAUGAAGGAAGCAGGCAUUUGAAGUUCGAUGCCUUCAUAUUCCAGUGCGUGAUCGAACGACAUUUGACGGGCUGGUGAAAAUUGUCGAAGAAACUGUGAGGCUUGAAUAUGCCUCAUCUCCAAAUAAGCCUAUUUAUCUAGUGGGAGGGUCCUUUGGAGCAUGUCUAGCACUUUCUGUUGCUGCCCGUAAUCCUCAAAUUGACCUCGUACUUUGUACUAGUUAACCCAGGAGGAAGUCUGAUAUCCUUAGCAUUUUAUGCUACAUCAUUUAGCAGGUCACAGCUGCCUUGUUGAAGAAGCGAGAAAAUAUAUCGUGCUUUCCAUUCUCCUUCGCCUGAAGUCCCGGCAUUCGACCCCUAGAAAAUAGAAAGACAAGGCACGUGAUAGUCUUGAAACUUUUAUCACCAUCUAUGCUUUUAGCUGUUUACUUGCAGAAAAAAAUGUGUGAUUCUGUGAAGCACAUGCAUGGUGCCUUUUCUUUUCUUUUCUUUUCUUUUCAUGUUCAGAUAGUUGAGAAAUAGCAAGAGAGACAUGCUUUGUGUAAGUUUGUUAGGCUGUAAUGUAAUGAAGAAAAUGUCAAUCAAUUCUCUGUGAUUGCGAAUAAUCUAUGUUCCCUUGCAUUGUAAGAAACUUUACAUCAUGGUACAAUUCACAGCCGGCCUAAGAUGAAUAAUUAAGAGUAUUCAGCAAAGUUAUAAAUGAGAACUUUUAAAUGUUUAAAAAAUAUUUUUAUUAUUUUUUAUGUAUUUCUAACAAGGAAGACCUUGGAUAAUUUUUAUUUUGUAGUUGAAGUCUUUUGUUAAAUACAUGUAAUUUUUAUUUUACAUAUACUUGAAGCUUUUUUGUUAAGUAGGGGCCUUGAGUUAUUGCCCAAGUGGCCCUUAUCUUAAUUAAGCCGGCUCUGUGUUCCAUAUAUAUCAAUUUUAUCUUCAAACAUUUCAUGUGAUCAUUGUGGUCUGCCAUCAGUGUGUUGAUAAUAAUGUAUGGAAUGGAAACAAUGACAAAGGGUUAAUAUUAAAUUCAUUGGUUGGUGCUUGCCUGCUUGGUUGUGGAACUAGUGGUUUUCAUGUCUCUAUUAGAACAUUAAGUUUGAUGCUAU